UGAUGAUGGUGAGAUCAAUUUUUGAGCAUAAUCUUAAAUCUCUCCUACGCUUGGUAGAGAUUCUCUCCUUCCUUCUGUCUGAAACUCAGAAUCUCACUUCUCAAACG